UGGAUUGAUGAUGACUACUGGCACAUAUGAGUCAUAGACAAUGAAUAUGUAUCUGGUCUUUUGAAAAAAAUAAGUGGUCUGU
rnacentral:snoRNA from 1 species